GGACUACUGGGGUUUCUAAUCCUGUUUGCUCCCCACGCUUUCGCACCUCAGCGUCAGUACCGGGCCAGUGAGCCGCCUUCGCCACUGGUGUUCUUGCGAAUAUCUACGAAUUUCACCUCUACACUCGCAGUUCCACUCACCUCUCCCGGACUCGAGAUCCUCAGUAUCAAAGGCAGUUCCAAGGUUGAGCCCUGGCAUUUCACCCCUGACUUAAAGAUCCGCCUACGUGCGCUUUACGCCCAGUGAUUCCGAACAACGCUAGCCCCCUUCGUAUUACCGCGGCUGCUGGCAC
rnacentral:rRNA from 1 species